UACAGAGGUGGCAAGCGUUGUUCGGAAUUACUGGGCGUAAAGAGCGUGUAGGCGGCCAUUCAGGUCAGCUGUGAAAACUCGAGGCUCAACCUCGAGACGUCGGUUGAAACCGUUUGGCUAGAGUCCGGAAGAGGAGAGUGGAAUUCCCGGUGUAGCGGUGAAAUGCGCAGAUAUCGGGAAGAACACCCGUGGCGAAGGCGGCUCUCUGGGACGGUACUGACGCUGAGACGCGAAAGCGUGGGGAGCGAACAGG
rnacentral:rRNA from 1 species